AUCCUCCAGUUGGCAGCGUAUAUACUCGAGCUGGAUCAGUGCAGAGAUUAGCAUGGCCCCUGUAAAAGGAUGACAUGAACAUUUGGGGGAAAGGCCAUGGGUAU